rnacentral:rRNA from 1 species
UACGUAGGGUGCAAGCGUUGUCCGGAAUUAUUGGGCGUAAAGAGCUCGUAGGCGGUUCGUCACGUCGGCUGUGAAAACCUGGGGCUCAACUCCGGGCCUGCAGCCGAUACGGGCGAACUAGAAUUCGGUAGGGGAGACUGGAAUUCCUGGUGUAGCGGUGAAAUGCGCAGAUAUCAGGAGGAACACCGGUGGCGAAGGCGGGUCUCUGGGCCGAUAUUGACGCUGAGGAGCGAAGGCCAGGGGAGCAAACGGG